rnacentral:snoRNA from 1 species
UGUGCGUGUGUGCUGGAGGGGGGAGGGAGCCACGCAGCCCCUCCCCCUAACCCUAUCCCUCUGCCGAAUGCCGAGCCACGUCUGA